UUAAGUAGGCAAUACAUGGGCGA
rnacentral:miRNA from 1 species